rnacentral:rRNA from 1 species
UACGUAGGGGGCAAACGUUGUCCGGAUUUACUGGGUGUAAAGGGUGCGUAGGCGGCGCGGUAAGUCGGGUGUGAAAUCUCGGAGCUUAACUCCGAAACUGCAUUCGAUACUGCCGUGCUUGAGGACUGGAGAGGAGACUGGAAUUUACGGUGUAGCGGUGAAAUGCGUAGAUAUCGUAAGGAAGACCAGUGGCGAAGGCGGGUCUCUGGACAGUUCCUGACGCUGAGGCACGAAGGUCAGGGGAGCAAACGGG